UAGAUUAUACAUGUCAUGUCAUAGUUAAAUAUAAGUAUGGCGCAGGGCGUUGGCAUGUGUUGUGUCUUGUCACUGUUUCGAUCGAUAAUUAGUUUGAGUAUUCAAGUUGAUCACUUAAUAUCACCUACUUCUUGUGUUAACAAAUUUUGCGCAUCUUUUCUUUUAUACAUUACCUUUUAAAGAUUGUCGCUAUUACGUCCACAGAAAGGAAGGUUGACUAAAAAGGACAAAGAGAUUGAGGUUAUAUAAGGUUUUCGUUUUGACAGACGCGAGGCGCGAGCUCCGAUAACCGUGGUGGGAUGGUAAAGGAGGAGAUUAAAAAGUCGAACAGCAGAGAACGACGUUGUCGUUAGUUGAGUGGACUAGUUCAAGUUCGUAGCUUGCAUAUUUUGUUGGACUUAAGUGUUCUUGUUAUUCAUUAUUUAUUUAAUGCUAUAAAAAAGUUGUUUGUGUCAGAUAACAGAUAAAGUGAACGAUUCGAAAUGGAUGAUAAAAAAACAGAACACAUUGUCAUGACACCAAAAUGUAAGACUGCAAAUUCUACAACUAUUAUAAUAGAAAGGCAGGCUUUAGAACCGCCAACAGAAAAUGGAAAUGAAAACAAUGUUCAUAUUGCUGGAGGAGAUCACAAAGGAAUAGUUAUUAAUAAACAAGCAAUUGCUGUUACAAAUGGUGAAAUUCAUCCAGCACAUCUUUGCUUACAAUUCAGAGUAUUCUUAGUGAGUGCCCAAAGUGGAAAACAUACACAAGAAUCUAGAACUCUUCAGUUUUGGUUUGUAGAUACACUUUCAGAAGCUGAACACCCAAGUGUGGCACAAGAAUUCUUCAGAGAAUUAGUUACACCUCAAGAAUUUCCAAGAGAUUAUGUUGGAUUUAUCAAGAAAAUAAUGAAACUAAUGUUGCAUAAGUAUUCUACAAUUAAAAAGAUAGAAGUAGAAUUAAAACAGCUUGAAGAACCAGUUAAUCUUCCAACUAGACCAUCUGAUACUGGUCAUAUACUGUUCACAGUUCUUCCAUAUAAGAAAAUUAGUUGGAAAUCAGUAUCAACAGAUGAGACAGUUAUUGGUCAGCUAGUUGAACUGACUUUAGAAAAAGUGUUGGAACUUAUUGAAUCUGCUUAUCCAAAUCCAAUUACAGUGACUGAUAUAGCAAAAGAACAUGGUUGGGAUCCUUCUGCUGUCGAAAUAAAAUUAAAAGAAUUACAAGAGAAGGGUGUUGUUAAAGCGAUGGAGCAUGGAGCUUUUACUAGAGUUGUACACCAAGAUACCCAAAUUCAAGUCGUAAAACAAAUGCCAACAAUGGCGAGUGCAAAACAACCUACUAUAGCAAUUAUUACUGCACAGUAUUGUGAAAAGUUGGCCGUUGAUUCUAUGAUUGAAAACAAAGAAACAUUUGUUCGUUAUACUACUGUUGGUACGGCAAGCUCACCUGAUGCGACAGAUGGAGUACCGCGAGUGACAUGUCGUUUUGGUGAGUCAAAUGUUUACACAUUAGGUAAUAUUGGUGCACACAGAAUUGUAUGCACAAAGUUACCAACUGUAGGUCAUACAAGAGAAGCAAUGACUGCAGCAGGAAAUACAACUACCAGAUUAUUAGGUACAUUUCAGAAAGUUGAUUUCGUUUUCUUAAUUGGAAUUGGAGGAGGUGUACCACAUUAUACAGAUUAUAAUAAACACGUGCGACUUGGUGAUGUGGUUAUAUCUUAUCCUGUUCCUCUUAAUAAAAAGUAUAUUUAUGUCUAUUGUGAAAGUGCAAAGACAAAUGAGGGUGGAGAUUAUCAUUUUGAAACCAAAGAAUAUUGCCCACCAAAUUUAUGUCUUCAAGAAAUUGCUGUUAAUCUUAAAGAUCAGUCAGAGAAUGAGACAAAUCCUCCAUGGCAAACGUACCUGAAGGAAGGUUCAGAUAUUUUAACCAAUCAGACGGAGCAUGAUUUUAAACCACCUCCACCAGAGUCUGAUAAGUUAUACAUGGCUAUUGGCGAAAGAGAUGUUAUUGAAGUUGCACAUCCUACUGCACCUGCAGAUGCGGCGAAUAAAAGAACAAAUGGCUGUCCACGAAUUCACUUAGCACCUGUAGCAUCUGGUAGACAUAUUGCACGGGAUGAUCAGCUUAGACAGAAAUUUGCAGCCCGAUUUGGAGCCCUUGCCUUUGAUGCAGAGAUGGAUGCUGUAGUCGAAAGUAUUUUGGGUAAUUGUCGUGAAAGUUUUGCCGUUAUUCGUGGUAUUUCUGAUUAUAAAGAUGGCUCUCGUAUAAAGGAAUGGCAGCCUUACGCGUCCUUAGCUGCUGCUAGUGUAAUGAAAUCUAUUAUUUGUGCUAUGGACCCACCUACUAAUGUGUAAUACAUAAUUUCUGAUGCUCGUUUUAUUUCAUUCCGGACAGCAUUUUAUGUGAUAGUUGGUAAAAGUAUCAUCAUUUCGUGUCUUUUAUAUCGUAUCGUCGAUUUUUCAGUGCAAAGUGGACCAACUUCUUUUAUUGGUUAAGAGCAAUCGUUGUUUCAAUUAGCGCACAAACAGCAUAAUUCAGAAUUACUUAAGGAAUAGUUUUUUCUUCUUUUUCUCUUGUAUUUUUUAAAUCGUAUUUAAUGUGAUAUGGAUCAGUUAUUUACUUGAUAAGCAGGAGAAAAUAAGAUCGUGACCAAAUAUAUAAUGGUCAUAAAGUAAGAUGCACCAAGUGCAUUUUAAUUAAAGAGAAUUAUAGUUAAUAUGAAUGAUUUUAAUCUAGUGACUUUAGAAUCAAGGACAAUUCAAUUUCACGUUUCCAAAUCGUUUUCAAAGAAUUUCCAAACUGCUAAAAAGAUGGAAUAUGUAUUUGAUUGAUAAAAGUGCUAGCUUACUUUUAAAAUUUAUUUCAAUAUGGCUAUUUGAAAAAUAUUUUUACAAUUUUUAUAUCUAAAUAUAACUUCAAUAUUAUUUAAUAAUAUAUUUAUAAUAUCGAUGCAUCGAUUAUUGCUACACUUAUUCAUUUUCUAACGUAUUAUAACAUCAAUUUUAUAUAAUGUGAUGGAAUAUUAAUGUAUGGUUUUGCAGAAUUAUUCAUAUAGUCUUUGUACUUUUCAUAUCUUGCCUAUUGCCUAUUGUAUUUAUUUAAGUAUAAUAUCGAGAAAUUUGUAUGUACUCAAGAAAAAUCAGUUCAAUGAUUCUAAAAUUGGUGCCAUCUUUAUCCUUUCGAACACAAGAUUAUCAAAAAAUGUUUACAUAAUGGAUUUUUUUGAAAUGAAGGAACUAUACUUUUGAAAUAAUUACGUAAUUUAAAUUAUAACAAUGAGGCUCUUGAUUAUCAAAUAUUAGCAGACAGGAUCCGAAAUAACGUAGGUGUGGGAACCACAGAAAGCUUUAAAUAAAGUCACGGUAUAGUCAGCAAAAUAAUUUAGAUGUAGAAUAUAUCUAAGAGUAAGGGCAGAAAAUACAUUUGGCAGUAUUUAUCUGAACACAAUCAAAUUAUCAUUCAAAAAGUAAUUGUCCUACAAACUAUUAUAUGUUUGUCAGAGUAUAUUACCAUUUCACACAAGUCUGUCCGCUUUCUCCAUGGAGCGUAUAGUAAAUAUAUCUAUACAUUCAAAUUUGAUGAAAGGAAGAAAUAUAAAUAAAUAAUGCCGCCCAAAACUUUAAUCGUAUUUCAAAGGAGGUUAAGAAUUUGAUCUUAAUAGUUAUAUUAUUAAUUAUUAUUAUAAAAUAUGUUUGUUUUCUAAUGUGUUAUGAUUUUGAAUGAAAGAUGUAUGAUUUUGAAACAAGUAUAGAUUUUUGUUUCUUAACAAAUUUUAAUUUGAUUCCUGAGUUACAGCAAAAUAUUUGCAUAUACAGGCUGUGUCCUCUAGGAUUAAUCACUAUUUUUCAGACAUUUCUAAUAAUUCAUCAAAGAAAUGUUUUGAACAAAAGUUAGUAAGUUUUCGGUUCACUACAUAUUUGCAUAUUAAAAAUUUCCAAAAAUUUUUUCCAAUAAAAAAGUCAAGAGCACCAUAUGUUUUGAAUUUCAUGGAGUUGUAGUUUGCGUCAAAAUGAAUUCAACGGUCUACUAUAGAAUGACUGAGAUGACUUUGCAUUCAGAAACUAAUAAAUUAAACAAAUCUAACGAUAACAAUCAUACCGUUUUGCAUUACACGUUACAAUGUACUAUUACUAAAUUUCUGAUUUUCAGCUCAUUUCAAAGUUAGUUCAAGAUGAUAGUAUAGUAGGUCGUUGAAUUCGUCUUGAUGUCAAUUAUAAUUCUGUGAAGUCCAAAAUAUAUGGUGCUAUUUAAAGAAGUCAACAAUUUUUUGGAAAUGUUUAAUAUCCAAAUGUGUAGCACAUUGAAAACUGAUUAACUUUUGCUCAGCAAAUUUUUUGGUAGAUUGUCGAAAAUACCUAAAAGAUGGUGUUUAAUCUUAGAUAUAUCCUGUAUAGAAUAUACGCUAUAUAAAAUAUAAUAAUAUUAAAAACGUGUACAUAUUUAUAUUAUAAUAACUCAUUUCUAAAUUAUGAAAUAUUUUGUUUUAGUAUAUGAUUUCUGAGUGCAGAAAUCGAUAUAUUUAUUUUUAUAAUGUUCUUUAUAAAGUUUAUUAUUAUUUUGCUAUUACGUUGCUGUCGCUACUUUGACAUUUGUAAAUGUACAUCUAUUUUUUUUUACUCAGAAUUCUUAACGUAGACCAAUUUUUAUUCAACUACAAUUAUAUAAUUAGCACUUUAACAUAAAUGGUAACAUGGAGAAAAGAUGUUGGUCAGGAUAUGUAGAAUGCUGGAUAGAACUCAUUUUUUUCUGCAAAGUUUGUUAAAAUGUGUCUAUUGUUGUUACAGCAUAUUUAAAAUCUGUUACAACUUUAUAGUUUAUCUUUUUGUACUAUAUUUAGAGAUACACAUAAUUUGUCAUGUACAUAUUUUGUAUAUUUAUGAAAUAGAUCAUCUUUACAUGUUUCCAAAUGAUAAACGAUUCGCUACAGAUGGUUGUGAUUACAUGUUUGUGCUUCAUUAUCUUAAAAUCAGCUUAACUGUUUCCUCUUCUUGCUAUUGCAUAUUCAUAUAUUCCAAUUGUAUAGCCCUACAAAAUCAAAUUGUUGAUACAUAUAAUAAAUCGGUACACAUUCUCAUAAGUAAACAAUAUAUAAUAUUUAAAUGUUUUUGUUAUCAUUUUAAACAAUUAUUAUUUAAAAAUGAGUAUAAAUUUUAGAGUCAAAUGAAGUACGUGUGGAAUUUCCUUUAUAUUAUGUGUCUUUUUCACUUUUACGGUGGAUAGUUUAUGAGAUAUCAAUACAUACAUAGCCAAUAUUAUUAAAUUAUAUUUAUAUUUCAGAAGUAACUAUUUGUGGAUAUAUAUGUAUGUAUUUUAAAAGAUAUCGUUUUUUAAAAUUAUUAGAUACCGUUAAUCAGAGAUUUCACGGUCAUUGUAUGUGUAAAAUAAGACUUUUAUUUUUCAUAUAUAGUUUUCUUCGUUGCUUCUGUGCAAUAUAUUGUUGCACCUCGCACAUAUAAAUUUUUUCCUUAUUUUAAAUCGUACUUUUCCAUCUAUUUUCUUUGAUUCUGUCUCCUCUAUCACGUUGCCAAAGUAGAUUAUGUCUAUGAUAAAUAAUCCAAAGUCUAAUUUUAAUAGAUUUAACCAAAUUUUAUCAAUUAACCGAAUUAUUAUGAAUUAUGCAUUUUUCUAACACAGAGUAUAAAAGUAUUAUAAAUAUUUUAAAUUUGCUAGAUUUGAUUUUCAGUUUUGUUCUAACUUCUUUGGUGCGAUUAAACGUUUGGGCGAUGAUAUAUGCACCAAAUAUAUUAAAAAUUGUACAAUUAAUUAACAUUAAUUAAAGUGCCAAUGUGUUCAAUAUAUUUGGGUAGUGCAGAAAUAAGAUAGGUUUUUCUGGAAGAUGAACGAAUAUCUUUAUGUUAUCAUUCAAUUCUAUCUCGAUCCAUUUGUUUCAUCACUACUGUAAUUUAUUUGGUAUUAGAAGCAAUUGUUACAGUAAUAAUUAUAUAUAACAAUAUUUGGGAAGAAAUAAGUUUUUUCUUUCGAGAAUGUUUUAUUCGUUUAUCUUCUAGAUUAAUAUUGCUGUCGUCUGCAUUAGAGACCAACAUUACUGAAUUCUACUGCCUAUUUGAAAUUCCAAUAUGGAUAUUCAAAUACUUGAAAAUUGUUUUAAAAAGAAUUCGAUAAUAUCUAAGCUUUGUUAAUAACUUUAAAUGUAAUUUCCUCGCAUUUUAUCGUCUUUAUAGAUUCUAAAGCACAGGGUAGUAUACGAGAACUCUAUAUUUAAGUGACAUUGAAAUAUUCAAUUCGAGCAUAAAUCUAAAAACUUAGGAAAGUAGUAUAUAUACAUUUAAAUAUACCUACAUACGUAUCGUUAGUAGCAUUAAAACCUUCCAAUUCUAACAUCAUGGUGAUAAUCUGCAAAUUUUACAAGUGACAUUGGUCGAGUUAUUUCAAUGAUACUUGACCGCUAAUCAAAAGUCAUUAUUUAUUUAUUUAUUUAUUUAUUUAUUCAUUCAUUCAUCCUUUACAUUUGAAACAAUUGCAUUGUUUGGCGCGUUCCACUAAAUUGUUAAAAUACGUCUAGGGAAUUUUACUUUUCUUUCGAAAAUGCUAUUUUAUAUUGUUUUAAAUAUAUGCGCGCGUGGACGUGCAAACAGAGGAAAAAGAUAACGAUGUGUAAAAGAUUUCUAACGGUAGGAAGGGCCUCAGGUCAAUUUAAUCGAUGAAAAGUAUCACUUGUUGCGUAGAAGCACAUUUUUAAGAAAAUUCUAUGAAAUAUAGAGAGUAUCAGCUAUCAAAUAUAUAUGUACGUAUUAUUAUGAAUAUAGUCAAAUACGUAUAGGUAUAUAUCUCUAUUUCAAAUAUUUAGUAUAUGAUACAUAAUAUAAUAUAUAAAUCGUGAAUUCUAUUACGUGGUGAAACAUUAAAUUCAAUUUACCUGAUAAUACAGAUUCCUAUGUAAGGCCUAAAUAUUAUGUACGAAAGGAACAAAACUUUGUUACAUAUUGUGUUUUAAGCGACGAGGUUUUCAACCUCGAGCUUCCAAAAUAUCUAUGUAUUUACAUAUAUUUACGUUAGUAUUACGCGCUUUCAACACUAGUCGCACUAUUGUGUUUUCCGUCUAUUUAUAUGUAGGUAUGUUUUAAAUUGCAAAUACUACUGCAUACGCAUACAUAUAUAGUGUAUAACUACGUCCAUUUAAUUUAUAUUUCAAAGAAAUUUUAUUAGCAUCUAUAAUGAACAUAUAAUCGCAAUGGAUUUCAAUUUUGUCCGUUCAGAGAAAUGAUUUCGAAUAUUAGCAUCUCAUUUCGAUGUCUAAGCCACAGAAACUGUUUUCUCCAUUAUUUCACGCCGUUUCGCAAACUGAACGUUUAUACGAUUCCAGUUUAACAACUGGCAAAUGUACUUGUGAAUGCUUAUUUAGUACAUAGUGUGCGAUGAAGUGAGCUUGAAGACUUCAGAAAUGAGAAAUUUAUGCUUCUAGCUUGUAAUCCGAGUAGUCUUCCGGCCAAAAAAUUAUUAAUCACGAAUGUCUUUAAGUAAGACCUUGGCAUUUGAGUUUUGGUGUUAUCUGUCUCGAAUACGAAAAAAUGCCUGAUGUGGUCAGAUGGUAAAAUGGGUAUUACCAAAAUGUUUUCACAAUACGUUUCUCUGAUAUCUUUCUCUAAUUUAAGUAGACACAUUUAUUAUGGGAAAGCUAUGCAUAUAUGUGUAAGAUAAGUCGAGUUGUUUUCCAAAUUUUCGAAUGUUUCUUUACUAGAUACGAAACUCUUUUGCUUUUUUAUUUGUCGUUUUUCUUUUCUUUUAUCAAGAUUAUCGCUUCUUUAGGGACUUUCAAUUUGUUUCUUACGAAUUGAUAUUAAAUUCAUUCUUUUAUGAUUAAGAAUUACUCAUUUGAAUCUAAUAAACAUCUAAAUCUAACAAAAUUCCAUUAGAAGUUAUUUAGGUAAUUUUAAUAAAUAAUUUCGACAAAUACAUAAUAGAAAAUAAAGAGUUGAGUUUACAUUUUUCUCGACGAUAAUUUUACAAUUUGAUUUUUCUAAAAUAGAAUGUUCACCUACAUGUACUUCGUAUCACGUUCGAUUAUCUAUAUAUUGAGAUUAUACAGGGUGUCCUAAUAUUGACAAUAAAACCAAUACAUAAAAUAAUAAGUGGAAAAUAUAGAAUAAUUUGCUUUUCAUCUGAUGCUUUGUUUUCGAGAAAAUUGUUCUUGAAAAUUAUUAUUAUUUGUUUUUGAAUAUAAGUAAACAAUCAGCAGGAGGGUAUUCUACGUGCGGAAAUAAAUGUAAAAUGUUGAAUAAUAUUUUUCGUUUAAGAUCAAGUUUCCAAGAAAAUAGACUCUGAACAUGUGUAGGUCAGAAUUGGCCUGGUGCAGGUGUAAUAGAUUAAUUUUCAAAUUACUUGGAAAUGAAGAGUUUUCCGAAAAAAAUAUUAUUUUACAUUUUUAACUUAUUUUCAUCUGUAGAGUAGCCUCUUAUCGAUUAUUCGUUCCUAUCUAGCUUGAAAGUAGUCAAGAUUAAAUAUAGUUGACAUAUGUUCAAGUUCGAUUUUUUUGAAAGCAGGCAUCAUAUGAAAAAAUCUUUUUCUAUAUUUUCCAUUUGCUUUUUCGCGUAGAAUCAUUUCCUUGUCGAUUGUACCACCAAUGCUGAGACAUCUUGUAUACAAAUAUUAGAAUUUAUAUAUUUAGGUGUCAUUAAUUUCGCGAAAUUAAUUUCUACGUAUUGUUACUUUGAAAUAAAAUUUUAUAAUAUUGCACUGACUAUAGAGAACAGAAUUACAAAAUUUUAAAAAAGCUGAUCGUAUUUAAAGUUAUGAAUUAUUCGACAAAUAUUCUGGUUGUACCCAUGACCAAUGGCAUUUUGCUAGAAUUGUAAUGUCUACAGGGGAAAAGUAAAGAAAUUGUUGUAUCUAAUAGUAAGUUACUUCACCGCGGAAGAGAAACUGUGAUACUAUCUGGACUUUUCUGCGUGAAGUAAGAUAAUAGGUGGAAAGAGCCAUAGUAUAAAAUAAAUCGGUUCCAUAGCAUUUGAUUUUGUUACGAAAUAGAUCGUUAAGGAAGUAUUGUAAAACUGAAAAACAGAAGAACGAACGUAUCGCUGAAGUCUUAUUAGAAGAAGUUCAAUAGAGAUAUAUAGUAAGCUCUGGAAGCAAAGAACCAAACAGUAUCGUAUACUUUUGUUUAUUACGAGCAUUUUUUAUUACAAUUAAUUUUUUCUUAAAAAUGGUGAUGACAAUUAUGCAAUAAUAUUGUACGUAAAAGUGUUACACAUGAUGUGUUUAUCAAGUAAAAUUUGAUAUUUAGUUGCAUACAAUCUGUACAAUAACAAAUUGUCUUUAUCGGUUGAAUGAUUAGAAGAAAUUUUAACUUUAAAUUUUAUUCCAUGUUUUAACAUAUUAAUAUAGUAGAAAUAUAUAUUAGGAGUGAUAAAUAAUUUUUUAAAAACAGUUUAAUAUAUAAAUACUUUAUAAACACAUCGUGUAAUUUACGUUUUUCUGUAAUGCAAUGUUGCAAAAACUGCAUGUAUUGUUACAUAACUCUUAUGUAAGUUAUAGACAACUACUUUUAGUUUAAAUUAAUGAAAACUUUUCGUGGUGUAAAAUUCACUUUUAUGUAAUAAGAGCUCUGGUAUUUGAUGGAAAAAUCGUUUCAAUAAAUAGAGGUCCAUUGUU